CCAUUACCGGCCGCAGCACAGUUGGACCUGUCCAACUGGUUCACGGCUGGCUUCAGCGGGGGGGACAUAUAUCACAGCGUGUCCCGCGCUCGGCCCCGCCUCUUCUGGUUCUGCCUACUCCUACUUUCUGUAGGGGUAGGCGUCUUCCUGCUCCCCAACCGGUAGGUGGGGAGUUAA
rfam:Hepacivirus C isolate EGHKS3 polyprotein (POLY) gene, complete cds